rnacentral:rRNA from 1 species
UACGUAGGCAGCGAGCGUUUGUUCGGAAUUACUGGGCGUAAAGAGUGUGUAGGCGGUGCUCUAAGUUCGGUGUGAAAUCUCCUGGCUCACUGGGAGGGUGCGCCGGAAACUGGAGUGCUUGAGCGUGGGAGAGGAAAGCGGAAUUCCUGGUGUAGCGGUGGAAAUGCGUAGAUAUCAGGAGGAACACCGAUGGCGAAGGCAGGUCUCU